GACGAACGCUGGCGGCGUGCCUAAUACAUGCAAGUAGAACGCCGAAGAGAGGAGCUUGCUCUUCUUGGAUGAGUUGCGAACGGGUGAGUAACGCGUAGGUAACCUGCCUUGUAGCGGGGGAUAACUAUUGGAAACGAUAGCUAAUACCGCAUAACAAUGGAUGACACAUGUCAUUUAUUUGAAAGGGGCAAUUGCUCCACUACAAGAUGGACCUGCGUUGUAUUAGCUAGUAGGUGAGGUAAUGGCUCACCUAGGCGACGAUACAUAGCCGACCUGAGAGGGUGAUCGGCCACACUGGGACUGAGACACGGCCCAGACUCCUACGGGAGGCAGCAGUAGGGAAUCUUCGGCAAUGGGGGCAACCCUGACCGAGCAACGCCGCGUGAGUGAAGAAGGUUUUCGGAUCGUAAAGCUCUGUUGUAAGUCAAGAGCGGGUGUGAGAGUGGAAAGUUCACACUGUGACGGUAGCUUACCAGAAAGGGACGGCUAACUACGUG
rnacentral:rRNA from 1 species